ensembl:lncRNA SUGT1P4-STRA6LP-CCDC180 SUGT1P4-STRA6LP-CCDC180 readthrough
UCGAAGCUCAGAAUGGCUCGGAAUCUGAGGUGUUUGUGGAGAAUUAUGAGACCCUCGUGUUUUACUGGCCCUCGCUGCUGUGCCUUGCCUUCCUGCUGGGCCGCUUCCUGCAUAUGUUUGUCAAGGCUCUGAGGGUGCACCUCGGCUGGGAGCUCCAGGUGGAAGAAAAAUCUGUCCUGGAAGUGCACCAGGGAGAGCACGUCAAGCAGCUCCUGAGGAUACCCCGCCCUCAAGAGAAAAAAAAGUCUUGGUUCCAAACCAGGAUAUAUGAGUGGGAUCCCUGCUUUCAAUUUCCAAGCAGAAUGAUUGGAACCAUUGUGUUGGCAUUCAUCUGCCUGUAUCUUUUCAUUGUCAUCGAGUUCUGCGUGUUUGUGUACGUGAGAGAUGAGUUGGAUGUGCUUGAAAACAACCUGGAAAGCUACAUCACCUUCACGAACCAUUCAGGGGUCCUGACCCCAGUCAUCCUGCAGGUGAAAGAGCUGAUCAGUGUCACCAAAGGAGUCUGGGUGGCGACCAUUUUGCCCGCGUAUCUCACGUGUGUGAGCUAUCUGUUCCACAUUUUGGUCUGUUACAGAAAGCACAUGAAGAGGCUAUGGGCAGGAGAUAAACAUUUUCUUCCUUUGAAGUUCCAUAACCCGGCCUCGUCGGAGAGCAUGGUGGCCAUUGCAAGGUACUCUGGCUGGCAAAUAGCCUAUAUUCUGUGGGGCUACCUCAUCAUUCACAUGGUACAGAGCCUAUGUGGCAUGGCAAUCAUGUACAGCCUGGUGCUACCCAUCGUCCAAACCAGGGCCUGGAAAUGCUGCAAGGGCUGGGCAUUGGGAUAGUCCCUUCGGAUUUGCGCCAUGCGCGGCGGGGAGAACCGGCCUCCUGCUCGAGUUCAGAGCUCAUCUGAGGAAUUGGAAUUGAGACACCAAAGCCUAGACGCGUUUCCUGGACGACGGCUUCCCGGCAGGGGCAUCCAGCCAGCGGCCAAGAUGUCGUCAGUGGGGAAGGUGACCCAGGUUCCGAAUGGGAAAGCCUACCAGCAGAUCUUCCAGGCUGAGGUGCAGCUGGUCCACUCCCUGGCGGCCACCAGGAAGCGGGCUGCAGAGCGUUCUGUGACCCUGAAGAGUGGCAGGAUACCCAUGAUGAAGAAGGUGGAGACUCCUGAAGGGGAGGUGAUGUCUCCCCGACAGCAGAAGUGGAUGCACAGCCUCCCCAACGACUGGAUCAUGGAAAACCCUGUUCUCCACAGGGAAAAGGAAAGAGCCAAGAGGGAAAAAGCCCGAGAGAGUGAGAACACCAUCGCUGCCCGAGAAGUGCGGGGUCUCAUGGAUACUAUAGUUCCUGAGAAGAUAAGCACCAGCACCUUUCAAAGGCAAGCAGAACACAAGAGGAAGAGCUACGAGAGCGCUCUGGCCAGCUUUCAGGAGGAGAUUGCGCAGGUGGGAAAGGCCCUGCUGGAGCUGUGGGAUAAGGUGGCCGGGCGGUUACUGCUCCGGAAGCAGGAGAUUAAGGAGCUGGAUGAGGCCCUGCACUCGCUGGAGUUCUCCCGAACCGAUAAACUAAAAAGCGUGUUGAAGAAAUAUGCAGAAGUCAUAGAGAAAACUUCCUACCUCAUGCGGCCCGAAGUGUACAGGCUGAUAAAUGAAGAAGCCAUGGUCAUGAACUAUGCCCUGCUGGGCAACCGGAAGGCUCUCGCCCAGCUGUUUGUCAACCUGAUGGAGUCCACCCUGCAGCAGGAGCUGGACAGCCGCCACCGCUGGCAAGGCUUGGUGGACACCUGGAAGGCUCUCAAGAAGGAGGCCCUGCUGCAGAGUUUCAGUGAGUUCAUGGCCAGUGAGAGUAUCCAUACUCCCCCGGCUGUGACGAAGGAGCUAGAGGUCAUGCUGAAGACCCAGAACGUCCUGCAGCAAAGGCGGCUGAAGCAUCUCUGCACCAUCUGUGACCUCCUGCCCCCCAGUUACAGCAAAACUCAGCUGACUGAGUGGCAUUCUUCCCUCAACUCCCUGAACAAGGAGCUAGACACCUACCACGUGGACUGCAUGAUGCGGAUCCGCCUGCUGUAUGAGAAGACAUGGCAGGAGUGCCUGAUGCAUGUGCAGAAUUGUAAGAAGCAGCUGCUGGACUGGAAAGCCUUCACUGAGGAGGAGGCAGAGACCCUGGUGAACCAGUUCUUCUUCCAGAUGGUGGGAGCACUCCAGGGCAAAGUGGAGGAGGACCUGGAGCUCUUGGACAAAUCCUUCGAGACUCUGGCAGAUCAGACAGAGUGGCAGAGUUCACACCUCUUCAAGUAUUUCCAGGAGGUGGUACAACUGUGGGAGGCACACCAGAGCGAGCUGUUGGUGCAGGAGCUGGAGCUGGAGAAGAGGAUGGAGCAGCACCGGCAGAAGCACAGCCUGGAGAGCCAGGUGCAGGAGGCCCACCUCGAUAGGCUCUUGGACCAACUGAGGCAGCAAAGUGACAAAGAAACACUGGCGUUUCACCUGGAAAAGGUCAAAGAUUAUCUGAAGAACAUGAAAUCCAGGUAUGAAUGUUUUCACACCCUCCUGACAAAGGAAGUGAUGGAGUACCCAGCGAUCAUGCUGAAAGAACUCAACUCCUACAGCUCUGCCCUCAGCCAAUACUUCUUUGUGCGUGAAAUCUUUGAACAGAACUUGGCUGGAGAAGUCAUUUUCAAAUUCAGGCAACCAGAAGCACAUGAAAAACCCUCCCAGAAGAGAGUGAAAAAACUGAGGAAGAAGCAAGGGUCUAAAGAGGACAUGACCAGAAGUGAGGAAAGCAUAAGUAGUGGGACAAGUACUGCCAGGUCAGUAGAAGAGGUGGAAGAAGAAAACGAUCAAGAAAUGGAGUCCUUCAUAACUGAAGAGGUGCUGGGGCAGCAGAAAAAAUCUCCACUGCAUGCUAAGAUGGAUGAGUCCAAAGAAGGCUCUAUUCAGGGACUGGAAGAAAUGCAGGUUGAAAGAGAGGGCUCCUUAAACCCAUCCCUGAAUGAGGAGAAUGUGAAGGGUCAAGGAGAAAAGAAGGAGGAGUCAGAGGAGGAAGAUGAGAAGGAGGAAGAGGAGGAGGAGGAGAAGCUGGAGGAAGAGAAGGAGGAGAAGGAGGCACAGGAAGAGCAAGAGAGUUUAUCUGUGGGUGAGGAAGAAGACAAGGAAGAGGGUCUAGAGGAGAUAUACUAUGAGGACAUGGAGUCCUUCACAAUCUCCAGUGGAAACACUUAUUUUGUCUUUGUACCCCUGGAAGAAGAGCAUUGUAGGAAGUCCCAUUCCACCUUCUCAGCCAUGUUCAUCAACGACACUUCCAGUGCCAAGUUCAUAGAACAAGUGACAAUUCCAUCGAGACUAAUUUUAGAAAUUAAGAAACAAUUGUUUUCAGAGGGAGGCAACUUUUCUCCUAAAGAAAUCAAUUCACUGUGUUCCCGACUGGAGAAGGAAGCUGCCCGGAUAGAGUUGGUUGAAAGUGUCAUCAUGCUCAACAUGGAGAAGUUGGAGAAUGAGUACCUGGACCAGGCCAAUGAUGUCAUCAACAAGUUUGAAAGCAAAUUCCAUAACCUGUCUGUGGACCUUAUUUUCAUAGAGAAAAUCCAGCGGUUGCUGACGAAUCUGCAAGUGAAAAUCAAGUGCCAGGUGGCAAAAUCCAAUUCGCAAACAAAUGGAUUAAAUUUCUCUCUGCAACAGCUUCAGAACAAGAUAAAAACUUGUCAAGAGUCCAGGGGAGAGAAAACCACAGUGACCACAGAAGAACUCCUCAGCUUCGUCCAAACUUGGAAGGAAAAACUGAGCCAGAGGAUUCAGUACCUUAACUGCAGCCUGGACAGGGUGUCCAUGACUGAACUGGUCUUUACCAACACCAUCCUGAAGGACCAGGAGGAAGACAGUGACAUCCUGACAUCUUCAGAAGCCCUUGAAGAGGAGGCCAAGCUGGACGUGGUCACCCCUGAGUCCUUCACCCAGCUGAGCCGCGUGGGGAAGCCCCUGAUUGAGGACCCAGCUGUGGAUGUGAUCAGGAAGCUCCUGCAACUUCCCAACACAAAAUGGCCAACCCACCAUUGUGACAAAGAUCCGUCCCAGACAGGCUUCAAGCGACAUCGGUGCCAGCCAGAAAACUCUGGGAAGAAGGCUGUACCCAGUGCCAGUGCUACCUCUGCAGGCAGGGAUUUUAAGGGGAUCAUCUUGACCCUCCUCUGGGAGAGCAGUGAGAACCUGCUGACAGUCGCAGAGGAGUUCUACCGUAAAGAAAAACGCCCAGUCACCAGGCCUGACUGCAUGUGUGACACCUUUGACCAGUGCGCCGAGAACAUUAGCAAAAAGAUCCUGGAGUAUCAGAGCCAGGCAAAUAAGUACCACAACUCCUGCCUCAUAGAAUUACGGAUCCAGAUCAGGAGAUUUGAGGAGCUGCUGCCCCAAGUGUGUUGGCUGGUGAUGGAGAAUUUCAAGGAACACCACUGGAAAAAGUUUUUCACCUCUGUGAAGGAGAUCCGAGGACAGUUCGAGGAACAGCAGAAGCGGCUGGAGAAAAGAAAGGACAAAAAUGCCCAGAAGCUCCAUCUAAAUCUUGGACACCCCGUACAUUUCCAAGAAAUGGAGUCUCUACACUUAAGUGAAGAGGAAAGGCAGGAAGAGCUGGACAGCAUGAUUAGGAUGAACAAGGAGAAGCUGGAGGAAUGUACCAGAAGGAAUGGCCAGGUUUUCAUAACCAACUUGGCCACCUUCACCGAGAAGUUCCUACUGCAGUUGGAUGAGGUGGUCACCAUUGACGAUGUCCAGGUUGCAAGGAUGGAGCCCCCCAAACAGAAAUUAUCAAUGCUCAUACGAAGGAAACUCGCUGGGCUCUCCCUGAAGGAAGAGAGUGAGAAACCCCUGAUUGAACGUGGAAGCAGGAAGUGGCCAGGGAUCAAACCCACCGAAGUCACCAUCCAAAACAAGAUUCUUCUCCAGCCAACAUCAUCGAUUUCCACCACCAAAACCACCCUGGGCCACCUGGCGGCCGUGGAAGCCCGAGAUGCUGUGUACCUGAAAUAUUUAGCAUCAUUUGAGGAGGAGCUAAAGAGGAUCCAGGAUGACUGUACAUCUCAGAUAAAGGAGGCUCAGCGCUGGAAGGACAGCUGGAAGCAGUCCCUGCACACUAUCCAAGGCCUGUAUGUGUGACCCUCCGCCCCACCAUGAAUAAACACUUUCUUAUACAGACUCCUUCCCUGUCCAUCUACCUGCCUACCUACUUUCCGUCCAUCCCUCCCUCCCUUCAUCCCUCCACCCCUGCUCUGUGCCGGGCACUGUAGCUUUACCAGCGAACAGGACACAGCAUGGUCCCUGCCCACGUGGAGCCCUCUUCCCAUGAGGAAGGCAAGCAUG